rnacentral:rRNA from 1 species
CAGCCGCGGUAAUACGUAGGGUGCAAGCGUUAAUCGGAAUUACUGGGCGUAAAGCGUGCGCAGGCGGUUUGAAAAGUCAGCUGUGAAAGCCCCGGGCUCAACCUGGGAACUGCGGUUGAAACUCUCAAGCUAGAGUGCGUCAGAGGGGAGUGGAAUUCCACGUGUAGCAGUGAAAUGCGUAGAGAUGUGGAGGAACACCAAUGGCGAAGGCAGCCCCCUGGGAUGACACUGACGCUCAUGCACGAAAGCGUGGGGAGCAAACAGGAUUAGAUACCCUGGUAGUCCACGCCCUAAAC